CAGAAACAUGUUGGCGGGGUGACUGCAUGCGCAUCUGUACGACCAGGAAGGAAGAGUCCAUUAUAUGGGGAUGGAGAAGACUUCUUCUUCGAGAGCCAUCUCUCUGGGAAGGUCGCUUCCCCCUGGGUUAUUCAGAGGGCCGGGUUUCCCGGUUGUCCUUCAUGUUCGAUUGGAUAGACAAUGAAAUUUGAAUUCCAGGCCUUGAGCGAUUUAUUUUUUCUUGGGUGGAAGAGCAUCGAGUUAAAUUUCAAUUUCUUAGGGUCUUGCUUAAGAGAAAAAGCUUACUCUGUUUCUCAUUUGCCUUUGACUGUGUUUUCUUUUCCUUAAUGCUUAACUAAAUUACCUAUGACUAUGCUCGGAGGAACAUCAUGUUAUUUA